rnacentral:lncRNA from 1 species
CUGCAAGCUAAUAGCCUGUCAGGAGUAUGGAAAUAUAUAUCUGAGGUUUGUGAUUCUGCAUGGAAUCAGGAUUUCCAGGAGUGCCUGUUGGAGAGCACUCUGCUCUGUGCUUCUCAUGUCUUAAUGUUGGUUCUUAAUGUUAAUUCAAACCAGCUGUGGGAGACCCAGUUGUUCCUAGAAGUUGCUAUCUCUAUCUUUCACAUUCUGCAAUUUUAUAUGCACAUACAUUCUAUGAAACUUCAUGAAAUUUCUAUGAUAUUUGUGUUUUGGAGAAUGCUCCUUAUAACUCUGAUUUCAUGCAAAAAGUUACUGCCACAUAAAUGGGGAGGUGAUAUCAUCUUGGUUUGGAGUCUUCUAGUGGUCUACAGUAUAUGGAUGCAACACUUUUAGGGUCUGCUCCAGUUACAGUACCAGGUUAUAAGGAUUGUACCAUCUUACCAUAAAAAUCUCAAGAAAAUAUUAAUUCUCUGCUUUGGAUAUUGGACAGAACUCUAAUUAAAUCUGAUAUAUGCCUACCGUGGGAAGCU